rnacentral:rRNA from 1 species
CCUACGGGGGGCAGCAGUGGGGAAUAUUGCGCAAUGGGCGAAAGCCUGACGCAGCGACGCCGCGUGAGGGAAGACGGCCCUACGGGUUGUAAACCUCUUUUGCCGGGGAGCAACGGGCGCCACGUGUGGCGCCACUGAGAGUACCCGGAGAAAAAGCAUCGGCUAACUCCGUGCCAGCAGCCGCGGUAAUACGGAGGAUGCGAGCGUUAUCCGGAUUUAUUGGGUUUAAAGGGUGCGUAGGCGGAGCGUUAAGUCAGUGGUCAAAUUGAGGGGCUCAACCCCUUCCCGCCAUUGAAACUGGCGCUCUUGAGUGGAAGAGAAGUAUGCGGAAUGCGUGGUGUAGCGGUGAAAUGCAUAGAUAUCACGCAGAACCCCGAUUGCGAAGGCAGCAUGCCGGCUUCCUACUGACGCUGAAGCACGAAAGCGUGGGGAUCGAACAGGAUUAGAUACCCUUGUAGUC